UAGCAUAUCAAUAAGCGGAGGAAAAGAAACCAACUGGGAUUGCCCUAGUAACGGCGAGUGAAGCGGCAACAGCUCAAAUUUGAAAUCUGGCUCUUUCAGAGUCCGAGUUGUAAUUUGCAGAGGUGGCUUUGGCUUUGGUUGCGGUCUAAGUUUCCUUGGAACAGGACAUCACAGAGGGUGAGAAUCCCGUAUGUGGUCGCGUACCAUCGCCGUGUAAAGCCCCUUCGACGAGUCGAGUUGUUUGGGAAUGCAGCUCUAAAUGGGAGGUAAAUUUCUUCUAAAGCUAAAUACUGGCCAGAGACCGAUAGCGCACAAGUAGAGUGAUCGAAAGAUGAAAAGCACUUUGGAAAGAGAGUCAAACAGCACGUGAAAUUGUUGAAAGGGAAGCGCUUGCAGCCAGACUUGCCCGUCGUUGCUCAUCUAGACUCUUGUCUGGAGCAUUCUUCGGCGGGCAGGCCAGCAUCAGUUUGGGCGGCCGGACAAAGACCUCUGUCAUGUAUCUUCCUUCGGGAAGGCCUUAUAGGGGAGGUGUAACACGGCCAGUCUGGACUGAGGUUCGCGCAUCUGCUAGGAUGCUGGCGUAAUGGCUGUAAGCGGCCCGUCUUGAAACACGGACCAAGGAGUCUAACAUCUAUGCGAGUGUUUGGGUGUCAAGCCCGGGCGCGCAAUGAAAGUGAACGGAGGUGGGAACCCUCGGGUGCACCAUCGACCGAUCCUGAUGUCUUCGGAUGGAUUUGAGUAAGAGCAUAGCUGUUGGGACCCGAAAGAUGGUGAACUAUGCUUGAAUAGGGUGAAGCCAGAGGAAACUCUGGUGGAGGCUCGCAGCGGUUCUGACGUGCAAAUCGAUCGUCAAAUUUGGGCAUAGGGGCGAAAGACUAAUCGAACUAUCUAGUAGCUG
rnacentral:rRNA from 1 species